rnacentral:lncRNA from 1 species
CUGCUAUCUCCGUAACAUUGUUCAGUAGGAAAUAUUCAUCACAGUUCUCAGUGGUUAAGUUUGUAUUGUGGCAGAAGUUCUCCCAAAGCUUAGAGGCCACAGUAAUAUUAUCCUUAACUAUGGUUUUGGCACAAACAUCAAACUGAUCUCUUAUCAAAGUCCUGUUGCCCAACAUGCAAAUUGGAAAUUCAGGUGGAUCAAAGAUGGACUUGAUAGCUCCAGCAUAAAUGGAUAAUAUGGAUAUUACUACGCAGGCCAAGAAGAGGGAAGCAAAUUUGUUAACAUAUUUCACACCUACAAAGACCACCACUGCCAUUAAGAUGAGGAAUACAGUUCCAUACACCCUCAUGUUGUUUAGCAUAGCACUGGAUGCAUCAUGGGCACCGGAUGGAUAAAAAAUUGCUGCUUGUGGCACAAUAUAUGUCAAUAAAAUCUCAAUGGCACCAAGAAUGUACAUCGCUCCUGCAAAUGUUGUUCCCAAAUAAAAGCACAGACCUACAGCUCCACCAAACUCUGGGCCUAAUGACCUUGAUAUCAUGAAAUAGGAGCCACCAGCUGGAACAACACCAUUUGUAGCAAUAGCACUCAUUGAUAUGGUUGUCAGCAUAGUACAGCAGCAGCAGAGUAGUACAAUCAGGAAGGACUGAAGAACACCAGCCAUUCCUACCAUCCAAGUCAGCCGAAGGAAGAGAAUAACCCCAAAGAUGUUCUGCAUGCAAGGUAAAUACACUCCCAUCAGGGUGCCCAUGCUGGGUGAUUUUGAUACUUUCUUCUUGGAACCAUCAGUGCUUUCUGCUUCUUCAUGUUCCUUAACACCUUGGGUAAGAUUAGUGUAGUUGACCAGCUUGCCAAGCAGAGAUGACACUUUUGGUCGUAUAUCAAGUUCUUCCUCAAACAAGGCCAGAUUUUUGUCAUAGUAAUCACCUCCUUUGCUGGCUUCUGAACUGUUGAGGAAAGGGCUGUUUUCUUUAUGGUUACCAUGACCGUCCGAGCUGACGGUGUCGUAGGAGUCGCCGGCGGCGGGCGCGGCGGCCGGCUCCCGGUAGUCCACCCAGCUCAGCCCUUCCACGCUGUCGUACUCGGCGCGGUGCUUGUCCUCCACCGGCACCACGGUGAAGUGCGGCAUGGCUGGCGGGGCGGAGAGGGCUCCCCGCGGCACCGCAGCGAGGCAGGCGGGAUGCGGCGCAGAGCCGGCGGCGCAUUCCUGCCCCGUGCGGUCACUUCCUCUCAGGAAACCGCGCUCCUCAACUCCACCCAUUCCCCUCCGAGCGCCAGGGCGGUGAGGCGGAGCGGCGGCCGCCGCCCCCGGGACCGCGGGCGGGAAACGGGGUUCGCGCCGCCGGGCGUGGAGGAGGGGCCGGAGGCGGCACGGACAAGGGGCGCCUUCCUCCUCCCGCAGCCACCGCGGCAGCGGCCGGGCCCGGAGGCGGCGGGAGCUGGGGCGCGGGGCGGGCCUCCCUCCGCUCUGCGCCCCGGGGAGACGCUUCCCUCCUCCGCCGCCAUUUGCUGGGCCGCAGCCGCCGGCCCCGGGGUCGCGAACCCCGGGAGACGAUACCGCGAUGGAAAAUACAAUGGGACGCCGGGGUAGCAGAGCACGCCAAUUAGAAACGCUCGGGAAUACCCCCUGAACUGAAUACCCCCGGGCCUCAGUUGAUCGGCAACGGCUUAAUUAAAGACACGCUGUCACUUCGAGAGCCGGUUUGUUUUUAUGAGCACUACCGUUAGCUCCAGAUGCGGCAGCUGCCCCCGUUUCCUGUGUUUGUGGAGGCGGGGGGGUGGCUGCUCCGUGCUGCGCGAAAGCCUCAGCAGUAGCAUGGCAAACAGCAAGCCCGAGGGAGGCCAGAUGAAAAACGGGACUGCACGAAGCAGCUGGGGGAGUGCAGAGUAAAAUCCUCCACUUGGGAAACGCGAACGCUAGCUAGAGCCGCGGCGUCCCUAGCCCUGUGCAAAGCAGACAGUUGCUAAGGCAGCAGACUGCCAGGGCAAAUGAACUUGGCCCCUCUGCUCAGGAGGGGGGGGCCGCACCGUUCUUAGUGCCAGCCCGGCGGGUCCGGCCGGCCGGGGCACGGUUGUGUCUCAGCCUCUUGUCACCAAGGCAGAAAAAUCCAAUUCUGGCUGCACUUUAGAAAAAAAAAAAAAAAAAAAAAAAUCUGGUAGGCACCUGGGCCUACUUUGUAUGUUGUAACCUCACAUGGGGUUUAAAGAUCAAUUAAUAGUUGCUAAUGCUAUUUAUUGUCUGUUUUUGAAAGCUACUCUUGAAAGUAAAAGGAUCCCAAUUUAAUAUACUACACAGUCAUCAGAGGAGAAAGCUUUACAGAACCAUUUGUACAUUUUGCUACAUGUGUUUUACUACAGUGUCAACUCGAACUAGUAUUUUUAAUCAAAAAUCUACAAAACAUCUUAAUAAAUCAGCAGCAAGUCAAUCCAGCACUAUUGUAAGUUCUGUUCUAUACAGGAGUCUAUGGGAGGAUAGAAGCCCUAGAGCAGAGACAGAGGGAAGACGCUUUCAACAUUCCUUGUACUAAGAAGAACCUUAUCUCUAGCUUUAUGAAUUUGUCCUGCCUUUUUGACUAAACAACCCCUAGGUCACUUGGAGAAAGAAAAACCUGUAAUGAGCAGAUGAGAGACAAGCAAGAGGGAAAAUGCUUUGUUCAUGAGUAAUGCCUAUUCUUAAUUAGGUGGGUUUUGAAAUAAACGGUCAGAAUCCAUGCUAUGGAGUGGCUGCAGCCAAGGGGUUACAGGUCUCUCAGUUCACUUAACACAAACUUGUCGAUAGACCACUUCUGGGGAAAGCCAAAACAAUUACACCUCCUAGCACUGAUCAGACAAGCGGAAAGACUUCUAAGACUCCUGUGUUUCCAUACGCACUGCAUUUUACUUGUGCCAUUUUGCUCACUUAAGGAUGACAACAGUGUAUCUUCAUGUGACCGUGUGUAUCUCAGUAACAGCCUCAGAAGAUCUGGGAAGAAACAAAACCAGCUUCCAUUCAAAAGUCACCGUACCUCACUGAGCUAGAGAGUGAGAUCACUUCUCUUUCCCAGCAGCCCUAACAUUAGCACGUUUUUGUAUACAAUCACACUGAAGUCUGUGAAGUUUACUAACAACUUCUGUGGGUGGGUAAUUUAGAAAGGUUUUUUUUUUUUUGUUAUUUUUUGUUAUUUUACAAAUGUUAGUACUGACAUGGAAGCAUGCUGGUGUGCUACUCCAUCCACUCAGUUAUCUCCAGCAGUGUAUUUUCCCCCAGAGAAAUGCAGAAAAAAAAUGACCAACAGGUAGCAUUUUCUGUAACCUCUUAAGGUUGAAUUCCAUUUGAUUACUGCUCACAAGUAUAAGAGUCUAGAGUCCACCAAGAAAACAGGAAAAUUAAUGAUUAAUUGACAGGGGACAAAUAAUUUUAUAUACAAGGGCAAGAUGAGAACUUACUGUUGAGUGACUUAGUUUAUGCUUAGUCUUCUGUCUUCGUUCCUGUUUCUGACUGUAUAAAACUCUUAACUAAAAACAUCUGGUCUAAGUAAGCUGUCCUAGGGGGAAAAAAGGAAAGAUGGAGAUUAUAAGAAUUUUAAAGAGUUAACAUUUUUCCAGUCAUUUGAGAAGAAUGGUCUGACAAGGAGGUAUCUUGGUUUAGGUACCAAAAAAAAUGCAUCGAGGCCACUACAGAAUGGUUAAGUAUCAUUAAACUGAUGGCACUUAAAUUGUAUGCCAUUAGGGAAAAGAAAAAAAGGUCGAGCUUUUCCACAUAGACAGACAACUCCCCUCUCUGGAAUGGAAACUGUAUCCAAAUGUUUUAGGAGAGAAUUUGGCCCUAGGAAACUGCUCAAGUGUAUUGAAACAAAAAAUAUUUCUUUUGCCUGAAGAUGAUGACUUCUUACUGAUUUGUAGACCACCAAUAUUUAUAGAUAGGAAGCUGUCUGCCUGAAAGAAAUAUCAGCUUUCUUAGCAUAUGGGUUGCACCAGAACUGAAAUUUCAAGCUAAGUGUCUGAUUUAUUUAUAUAUAUAUUUAAUAGAAUACUGAACUUGACUUCUAAAAAGCCACCACAAGUUUAGAAGUUGUCUAAUUUCAAUACAAAACUGAAAAGAAACAAGCUGAUCUAGAAUACUAUAGCAUUUACAUGAGACAAUGUUACCUCUAAUUAAAUAAUUCAACUCAAAGAAGGUGGCUGUAUGAGAAACUAAGUCUUCUGGAAGGGCAGUUCGCUUAACUGCUAAAGAUCCUGAUACAAAUCAUCCAGGCAAGCAAGCAAGCAAGCAAGCUCAAGUUUGCCUUGAACACUUCAUAUUACAGGUGACACCACUCAAGUAUUUAAAAACAAAACAAAACAAACACAGCUUAGCUUUUACUGCCCAGCAUGAGAUAUAGCAGCUGCACACCACACUAGCUGUUGACUUACAAGUGCAAGGUGUCCUUUUCUAUCCCCAACAGGUGACAAUCUACAGCUUCUGGCAUGAUUUGCCUACAGUGAUCCUGAGAGAAAGUGAACACAGAAUUACUAUCAGUAAAGUUACCUCAGCCUGACUCAGCCUUCACCAGGUGAUGUAGUACAUCGAAUGUCUUUUUAUAUGAGCCCCAGAGAAUUGUUAGCUUACCAACUUGCAAUGUGCAAUGUUAACAAGAAACAACAGAAUGUAACGCCAUUUCAACUCCUUCACAAUGAAAGUGAUUUGCUAUUUAAAGAUAAGACCACCCAGCAUCAGAAACUGUUUGGAGAUAGCUUUUAUCUCCCUUACUUCCUGGAAGGAACAAAUACUUGCAAGUUUUAAAGCUAGCGCAUAAACAUGGAUAUUUAAAUACUACAACUUCAGCUGUACUACAAGCUGGAAGUAUUCUAUUUGGGCUAUGAUGGUGUUUCCUCUGAGGAAUUUGAAGGGUUAUUGCAGGGGAUCCAGAUGCCCCAUCACGUUGUGCUGGGAUAUGUACCACAAUGAGUCUGUAACUUACUUGUUUUAAGGGACUUUUUUCCCACUCAAGUGUAAUCUGGGUGACAAGUAGCCUAAUGCUGACCAUCAGAAAAACUAUCAUUACAAAACAUGCCACAGCCAAGGUACAGCUUCACUGAACACAAGGCUUGGCAGAAAUCCUACAAAUUCAUAGCUAGGAUUUGAACACAGUGAGCUUCCAUUUUCAGCACAUUCCUGCUUCUCCA